rnacentral:lncRNA from 1 species
AGAGAUUCCUGGGUAGGGUUUGGAUCUGCAGGGAUGAGAAUGUGGAGUAGGAGGGAGGAGAUUGCAGGUGGAGACACAGUGUGAGCCAGGCACGGAGGUGAGAAUAGUAGAUGUUUCCACUUUCUGACACUUAGAGUGAUACCCACAUACAGACAUUUACACACUUUUCUUCUCUGUUCCCCUUCUCGGGAAAGAAGUCACGGGCCAUCCCUAUGAAAGACGAUCGUCUUGUGGAAUUGAGAUUUGGCUGUAGAUGUUGGU